rnacentral:rRNA from 1 species
CACGUAGGGGGCGAGCGUUGUCCGGAAUUACUGGGCGUAAAGGGCGCGCAGGCUGUUAUGCGAGUCUGCUGUGAAAUGUACCGGCUCAACCGGUGCCUUGCGGCGGAUACUGCAUAGCUGGAGUACUGGAGAGGGAAGUGGAAUUCCCGGUGUAGCGGUGAAAUGCGUAGAUAUCGGUAGGAACACCGGUGGCGAAGGCGGCUUUCUGGCCAGUUACUGACGCUCAUGCGCGAAAGCUGGGGUAGCGAACCGGAUUAGAUACCU